UCUGCAGCUAACGCUGCAAGUAGUGCUCACUAGUUAGAGUUGUGCCAAGAAGCAUUGUUAGUUUUUUUUUGUUUGCAUUGGUAGUUUCAGUGCUUGGUAAGCGUGCAAAGACGGAGAUAAAUGUCUCACUGACGAUUAUCGAUACAUUCGGCAGUUCAUUUCUCAUGACCACCAUUCCGUCCGCAAGCAAGUUAUUCUUUCCAAAUUUUGGGGAGCUGUUACUUUUUUACCCAUCUGUAGAUCCAUGUAGUUAGUUUUGUGCAAAAUUGUGUUGUACUUCGUGCAAUAGCCGCAGAUUAUAGGUGUCUGGCGAAGAUAGGUUACUUACUCUACAUGUAUUAAAUACAAGCACUGUCAUGGCCUCGAAACAAAACAUGGCGAGAAGCACAGUGCAGCUUGCAUCACUCGUUAUAUAAGUGCAGUAAAGUAGUGCAGUAAAAUACAUGAUACAUGUCUCGUUGUCUGUACGCUUGUUCUAGAUCGACUGAUUGAUUGUCUUCUGUGCUAUUGUUUGGUUUUUUCACCCCUGACCUUUGCCCCCAGUAGUGCGGCCAUUUUCAGCCUGGCCAUGUGUUGAGAAAUGGAGGAGAGCUUUGUUGAGGAGACAAGAAGAGGCACUGAGAAUGAAGGUACAGGCCUACUAUGCUGCUAAGAGAGGGGCCUCACGUAAACUGGGCACUCAGAUGCUAACAGACCUCAGCAGUAUGGAAAAGGGUCUGUCAUCAGAGACUAAAAACUCCCCUGACACCCAGCCCACCUCCAGUCUGGUGAGCAGCCUAUAAGCAGUGAGGGACAGUCUGAAGACAUGGGUCCAUGGACAGGGGCUACUGAGGAAUCUUCAUCAAGAACAAGUUCCCGAGCCCCACCCCUCACUGUCUGACUCGGAAGAGGAGAUAGACUUUGGAUUCUGGGAGAAGGUGUCCACCCUACCCUUGGACAAGAACCUAAACUUGUUAUGACACUCAUAAUUUUGUCUGUUUUGUCUAUUCUCA